rnacentral:rRNA from 1 species
AGAGUUUGAUCCUGGCUCAGGAUGAACGCUAGCGGCAGGCCUAAUACAUGCAAGUCGAACGGUAAAUGGCCCUUCGGGGCCAUGAGAGUGGCGGACGGGUGCGUAACGCGUAUGCAACCAGCCCCCGACAGGCGGACAGCCGGUGGAAACGCCGGAUAAUGCGCCAUGCGCCCUUUGGGGGCAUCCCCCUUCGGGCAAAGCUACGGCGGUCGGGACGGGCAUGCGUCCCAUUAGAUGGUUGGCGGGGCGACGGCCCACCAAGUCUGCGAUGGGUAGGGGAUCUGAGAGGACGGUCCCCCCACACUGGUACUGAGACACGGACCAGACUCCUGCGGGAGGCAGCAGUAAGGGAUAUUGGUCAAUGGGGGCAACCCUGAACCAGCCAUGCCGCGUUGAGGGAAUGAGGCCCUACGGGUCGUGAACCUCUUUUGACCGGGGACAAAGUCGCGCUCGUGAAGCGCGGGUGAGGGUACCGGUGGAAUAAGCGUCGGCUAACUCCGUGCCAGCAGCUGC